CUGUGUAUUAUGAAAUGCAUUAAACACAGAGAUAACACAGCAGCUGCUGCAACAAAGACUACAGCAUACCAAGGUAGAGCAGAGAUGAAACAAUUGUUGUACCAGACUAACACUUCUGUUGCUAUGUCAAGGAAUCCGGAAGAGAUGGUGAAAAGGAAUAUCUAUUCUGAGAGAUCCAAGAGUGAAUGUUAUGCAGAAGGUCAGCUGCGGAACAAAUAUGAAUCUUCAGUUCAGUCAAGAACUUUACCAAAGCCUACCCAAAAGUACAGUCAGCCAGUUGUGGUGACUUCGAAUGAUGAUGCUGUUGAAGUAAGUAGUCUGACAUCAACAUAUCAAACAGGAACGCUGUCUUCCCAGCAAAAUAAUGAACAUGGACAUAGUGUAGGGAAUAUGAAACAUUAUGAAGAAAUACCAGAGAUGUCAGGAAACAAUAUCUACAAAAACAAUGAAGAUUGUACAUUGAAAAAAGAUGAAAACCAGGAAACCUAUCUAAAACAUGCAUAACAUAUAAUAGUUUAUCUUCUAUCUGUCUUAGGGAGGCAAACAUUAUUUGUAACAUUCUUAAACUGAUGUCGUUAAGUUUUAUUUUCUUAAUUAUCUUCACAAAUAGCUUUCAUUAGACAUUCUGAGACAUGACAACUAGAUUUUUUUAAGAUAGGCAACUUUAGUGUCCUUAAAAACCUCUCUGCCAUAAAGACUACAUGUCAGAAUUUGAUGGUUAAUUUUAUUUUCCAUUAAAUACAACACUGUAUGUGUACGUAUGUAUAUAUAUAUAUAUAUAUAUAUAUAUAUAUAUAUGUGUGUGUGUGUGUGCUUAGCUAUAUGUGUGUACAUAUACAUAUAAAUCAAUCCAAGGAAAAAACAAUUUCCUUCAAUGGGAUGGAAAACAUCCAAAUUUCACUGGUUCUUUAGUUAAAUACCACAAGAUAGUAGAGAAAAAAAUCUAUAUUAAAGGAAAUAGAGAAAUACGAUUGACAUAUUAAAAAUUUAUUAAUAUUAUGAUAUAAUAUAAUUAUAAUAUAAAAAGAUAUAAUAUAAUAUAACAAAUAAUUAAAACAAAUGUCUCCCCCAGGGAAUUUAUAAAGAUUCACUUUUAAGCAUAUGAGUCUCUUGAGGGUAGUAUUUGUCUAAAAAAAGACAAAAAUUUCAUGCAAGGACUGCGAAAUUAUAAUAAAAUAGACUUAAUACAUUACCUGUAUUUAUUUUAUACACUUCAGGAAAAUGAAAGACAAAAUCCACCCUGGGAUUUGAACUUAGAACAAGAAGAGACCAAAAUAAAUCCCAAAAGUCAUUUAGUUCAGUACUCAACUGUUUAUGUUGCUCCAAUAAAGCCAAUUUUUUUGUUGUGUGAUUAAUUCGAGAUCACUGGCAAAUUUUAUUGCUAUUAUUUAGUUAGAGUUAUGAAAUACAUGAGAGUUACAUUUUGAUAGCAAAUAUUUAAUUUUACACGAAACAUAGGAUAUAAGAGACCUUUGAUGAUAUUUUAUUUCCUUCAAAAUUUGCUUUCCUCUCUAAACAAAGUCAGUUUAAAAUUCCAUUAUCUUACAUUUAAAUUCUCUGUACUUCACUUUGUUUUCUACAAGCUACUUAACAUUUAUACUGAUAGAUGAAGAAAAGCAAGAGCAUAUGAUUCAAGGGGUAACUCUCUCUCUCUCUCUCUCUCUCUCUCUCUCUCUAUCUCUCUCUCUUUCUCUCUCUCUCUAUCUCUCUCUCUUUCUCUCUCUCUCACACACACACAUUCAACCAAAUGAAAUGUUGUAGCAGGCUCCUCUCUGGUUGAUCAUCGUAAAGCUGUUGUUACAGCAGCAGAGAUCUAGCAGCAACAGCAAUUGUUACAAUGAACUGGUUUAUUUCAAGUGGCAGUGUCAAUCAUAACACAAAACAUAUAAUAUUCUCAGCUACAGAACAAAUAUAAAGUUCAAAGCAGAACUCUUCCCAAACCUUCAUUGACAGAAGUGCAGCCAACCAGUUAUAGUAAACUCUAAUGAUGAUGCUGUAGAAGAUUAUUCAACUUUGCCUUCUAACGCCCCAUCUGGUUCACUCUCUACUCAAUAGGGCAACACCCAAGGGUGGGAAAUUUCAACUUUAUAAAGAAAUACUCGAAAUUUCAAAGUGUACAAGAUGCAUUUUCUCUUGGCACUAGGGAAGUUGCCAUGUCUUCUACAAGAUUGAAAGGAUCCCCUGGUACCUCACUUAACAGAUUGCAUUUUAUUAUGGCACCAGCACAAGAGAGGAAAAGAGUGAGAACAUGAUGGAUAGAUUGUGAGGGGACUGAAAUAUACAUUAAGCAGCAGCCUUGAAUAAGAGUCACCACCAAAAGACAUCCUUGAAACAUGUAGCAAUCAUGAAAACAAUCUUCCCCCAGUCUAUUAAUUAACAUAAUGGAAAUUUUGUUGCAUAAUAUUUGAGUGGAACUUUAAUUUCAAAACCAUGACAAGUCAAACAAUGUAAAUAUUUCCUGUCUGCUACAAUUUACCCAUAUACUAGGCAUAUCAAAGAAAAAAUAGCUUUAAUGAUAGCUACUUUAAAAGACAAACUUUUAUAUCUUGAGGCUUAUUGUUUUAUUUUCUGUUAUCUCAGUAUUCCUUUGCACUGAGUUACGUUUUCUUGAAACUGUUUUUAUCUCAAUAAGAACUAUCGUUGAAGAGGACUCUUUACAAGCUUUCUUUUUCAAGUUUCCCCUUUGAGAAAAGGGGAAAAUAAAAUUAUUUGUAUUUAUUGAUAUUGUGACAUUAAUUCCCCCAAGUCCCAAAAAAAAGAGAAACUAUUUUGUUGGGCGUAUACUUGUAUUUGUAAAUGUUUAUAUGUUUGUGCUCUUUUAAAAAAGAAAGCUUAACUCAAACUUCUCAAACUAAAUGUUUUAAUAAGCUACAAGGGUAAAUUUAGUUGUAAUAAAACUUAUUUUUGACAUGGUUCAUUAAGUUCUUGCUACUUCAGAAAUAUUUCUGUAAAAAAAAAUAAUGUUCAUACAUAGAUAACAUUAAAAAAAAAUGAUAUUUUCUUUAGUAAAAAGUACCAGAAUACAAUGAAAGUAUUCUUGAUGCAGCAAAUUUAAAUAUUUGUCCACCAUUCACAUUCUAUUUGUUGAAGUUUUGUUAUAAAUAAGAAGGUUUUAACUGAAACAAUUUUAUGUACAUCAGUUUGCUUGUUAAACCAAAUUCACAUUAUAAGAAUAUGGUGUAUCAUAAUAUUGUUUCCUUGUAUCAGCAUAAAGUUACAGAUUUGUAAAGAAGUACAAAUGUCUAAAUUCGCCCCAGUACACACUUAUAUCAUCAACCAGCAGAAGAAUGGAAAGCAAAUUUCGAUCCAGUGAGAUCUUGUAAUGGAUAUAAAGGAAUGUAAUAAAAUAACAUAAUAUAUUUAAUUCAGCACCCAAUACACACACACACACACACACACACCUCCUUAUAUCAGAAAACACUCAUUUGGUAUUAUUUCAUAAAAACAAUUUAUAUCUUAGUAAUUACAUGCCAAAUACAUAAUCAUAUUUAAAAUGAAUGGUCAAGAGUAAGAGAAGGUGACAUGCAAAUAUUAGCAUCAAAUAACUGUUUUAAAUUUCUGUUGCACCAACAAAAUUGAUACAGGAUAAUGGAACAGUUAAGCUCAUUUAUUGAAAAUUCCUAUCGACAUGAAUAUAUAUCUUGAGAAAUGAACCAAUUGUUUUACAAGACAUGAUACAGUCAAUAUAUCAAUAUAUCAAAGAAAGUUGAAAUUUUCACUCUAAAUUGUCUGGAUACCAACAAAUAUUGAACCUUCUUUCAAAGAAAAAUACAUCUCCUAAUUAUUACAGAACAUGUUUCCUACCCAAGAGAGUCAAAGGUCUUGAUGGAAUUGACAAUAUUUACUCCAAAGAAUUCCAAUUACACAGUAAACUGUGGUAAAUUUAUGUUUCAAAUAUAUUAAAUGUAUUUUCAAAUGUUUGAUUCACUUUAUAAAAAUCAGUAAAUCUUUUAAACAACAUGUAAAGCUUUGUUAUGAAGGACUCUGGAGAAAAUGUUCAAUACACAAUGAAAGUAGAAAAUUCAUUUGGUAAAGAUGGAUAGACAACAUCGGAUUAAAAGGUUUCAGUAUUAAUGAAAAUUAUAGUUCUGUUAAAUAACACUUUCAUAUCAGACACAUGUUAAAAAGGAAUGAUGAAGGCUAAUAUAUGAUCUUAAAAAACCUAAACCAGUGGAAUACCCAGACUUCAUAACUUUGGCAUGUUAUAUGAUACACAUGCCAAAGCUCCUUUUAAAGCUAGUAAUGGAAUGGUAUAAACAUUAGAGGAAGAGAUAUCAAUAAACCUCUGAAAUUUGUAAAUGAAAAUAUUUAUGACUGGGGAAAGUUACAUAAUUAUUAAUUUUAAAUACACUAAUGGUAAAGGCAAAAUAUUUCAUCAAGAAAAGAAAAUGCAAAUACUGGUAUAUCUAAGAAUAUGGAGAGAAGUAACAUCAAUGUGACCAACAUAGCACUUGGGUUAGAAUAAAUUUGUAAUCAAUUCAUUAAACAAAAACGAGAAUUCAAAAUACUCUUGAUACUUUACAUUAAAUGAAAAAGAAACGGACUUAAAGACUGCUACAUCUGACUAGUUUUUUGUAAGGUUUUUAAACCCCUUUUUACGUAAUAAAGAUUUGGUAAACCAUUGAAUUAUUUGGAGUUGAGUAUUCAGGUAACUGAGUUGUAUAAAAUGAGAGAAAAAUGGAAUGCAUUUCAAAUGUUGAGAUCUAAAGCAGUUCAUAUUUAUAUAACUUCAAAGGAAAUACAGCUCUUUUAGAUUAUCAGAGGAGAGUGUUCCAUAAUGAAAAUUAUUUCAAAAGGAAAGAAAUAGAGUAACAAAAAAAAAAAAGAAGCAAAGACUGAUAUACAUAUAUGAAAGAACAAGAAUUAGGUCAGAAUGCCAAUAAAAUGUAACACAAUUAUAAAAACUACAACAGAGAGAAGUGAUAAGUUGCUUCGAGCUGACCUCUGGUGCAGAUGAUACUCAACUGAUUGAUUGAACAUAUCUUCCUCCAGCAAUGAUUUGUGUUACAUGAGAUAAAAGCCAAGUAAUGGUAGUCUACUCUGAUUUUUUUUUGUCUGCUUUACAAAAUUCAUCCAGUGAAAUACAAGCUCUUGAACAUUAUUUGCUCUACUAUAUCUAAUUUAUUUUGGAAUAUGCAAUUCCCAGAAAAAUUUGAAGCUUUCAGUUAUUGACUAAAUAGAAUGCUUAAAUUUUCAAUAACAGACACAAAACAGUAAAACUAAGUGAAAUUCUAGUUUUUGUUUUCAUGUGUGAUGCUUCAUGUUAUAAAUAAAACAAUGGAUUAAUGUCCAUGAUAACUUGGCAAUUUUAUAUACCAGUCCAUUUGUAUUUCAGAGAAAAAUUUGUUUAUGAACACUCAAUAUUUAACAAUGAAAAAGAAUUCCAACUUGGAUAAUCAUUCAUAAAUUUUAUUUACUUUAUAUUAAUUGACAUUCUUAUGUUUUUGCUGGAGUUUUUUUUUUUCCUAAACAAUAAACAUAUUUUCUGUAAAACUUCUAAAUUUUUUUUGAUAUGUUUACUGCAAUAGGAAAUACAUUCAACUUAUUGCUAAUCAAAUGUAGCCGACAUUGAAUGUUGUGUUUUUUUUUCUUUUCUUUUAUAAGGAUUCAAAGUAAUUUAAAUGUAUUAGCUCAAUUUAUAUAUUCACAUUUUUAAAUCUUAUUUUAUACAGAUUCUGCUUAUGAUGGGUUUUUUUUCUUUUUUUUCAAAUGAUCUCUUGCCUGAAAUUUGAGAUUCACUCAAAUAAUUCUUAAGCUACUAUCAUUCAUUUAUAUUUAAAUAUUUUCAUAUCAAAUUUACUUAAUCAAGACUCGAACACUGUAAAAAUAUUGCACUGGAUAUAGUCUGUAAUGUUCAGUUGAAUUAUAAUAGUGUGACAUAAAAAAAAAGACCAUAAUUAUGUAUUAGUCAGGUUUUCAUGUGUCCUAAUAUGAACAGCAAGAUAUUACCUGUGGUGUCUUUCCUAUUUAAUUCUUUUGUAAUAAAAUACAAAUUAAAGUUAA